rnacentral:lncRNA from 1 species
UUGUCCCUUUUCUCCCAUUUUUAUUUAUUUUCUUUCUUAAUUUUAUUUUCUUCAUUUUUAUUUUAAGUUAACCCUUUCCAUUUUAAUUUAUUUUGUUUUCGUGAUUACUUCUUUUGACCAAAUAUGUCAUUAAUUAUAUUUCACCAAGUAUUUUAUUUUCCCAUUAAUUAUCUUUUUUUUUAUCAUUUUUAUUGGACCUUUAUA